UACCUUUUACAUCGCAUAGUCAUUUUGAUCGAUUUGUUUACAAUAUGAUAAAAUUUAUGUGAAUUUCAUUCAUUUAAACAUAUUUGUGACAAUAAAUCUCCUAUCUGAUUGUUUUUUUGUAGCCAUAGUGAAUAUUUUUAUUAUUGAAAACGCCCUUUGAUACACGUGACCUAAGAGUUGUUGACGCUAGUUUUGUUCACUUAAUUUGUUUCGUCAUAAAUAAUUAAGGGCAUAGCAAAGGAAAUAUAAUCAGUGUCUAAUAGUGUUUAAUUAAUAGCAAAAAUGAGACCAGAAAGAAAAAAGGAAAAUCGUAGCCGAAGCCCCAGCCCUGUUAAGAGUGAUAAAAGUAAGAGUCGUAGUCGAAGUCGUUUAAGUAGUAGUUUGAGCAGUGAUACGGCUACAAGUCGUUCAAGAUCUCGCUCACGAAGUCCUUCGAAUAGUGAAGGAUAUCGGCUACAUAUUGGGGAUAUUGGAGAGGGUGUAUCGAAAGCUGAACUAGUUGAUAUUUUUAAAAAAUUUGGACCAUUAAAAGAAUUUUGGAUGGCUAAUAGUCCACCCUGCUUUGGAUUUGCUGUUUUUAAACGUAAACGUGAUGCCAAAGAAGCUUUAAAUGGAUGUGACGGAUUGACAGUAUAUGGGAGUCGAAUUCGCGUGAGCAUGGCAAGACCCCGUACUCGAGGACAUGGUCGACGAUGUUUCAGUCCAAGCAUGCGGUGUUAUCACUGUGGUAAUGCUGGUCAUUUUUAUCGUGAUUGUCCAGAGAAAUACGAUAACCGUUAUACUUCUAGUUUAUGGUUAUGGUUCCAUUGUAUCUAAAAUGGGGUGGUUUAUUUAUUGAUGUGGAACUCUGGCCUAUAGGUUUUGUUGUUGUACUUUGAUUUGUACAACGUGAGAUCACAACUAUAAAACUACUACACUGACCUCUUUUUGUAAAAUAACAAAAUGAAAGGAUAUAGUAUUCACCACGAAUCUUUUGAAUUUAUGUUCCUCGAUUUGUUGUUGUUUUUCAUCUGAAAAAUGUUGUCUUCUCCCCUAAAUUUUCAUAUUUUAUAUAAAAAUCACAUUCAUGAUUUAUUUGUUGGCUGGCUUACUACACGAAUCAUUCGGCAAUUUUGGGGCAAGUCAACAAAAUCAAUUGAAAAUUCGUUAUUUGAGACGUGUAUGUUGUUUUGAGAUGCGAUGUGGACAAAAUGGUCUAUGGUUGUUUAAAAAAAACUGAUGUUUUUGGAACUACCGUAUGUUGUUAUAUAAAACGGCAGGAAACGUUAAUUUCGGUGUGGUUGAAUUUCGUUGUUGAUUGGAGUUAGAAAAUUUUCUUUUUCUUUUUGAUAGUUUGUUCUGGUUCCAAUCAAAAAAUUUUAUCAAAUUUGAUCUAGUCAUCAUCGAUCCAGUGGCAAAUCAGAUCGUUAUUCAGCACGUGAUUCGCGUGACUAUCAUAGCAGGGACAGAAGAGACCGUCAAAGAUCACGCCGCCGAUACUAAAUUCUUGAUAUUUAGUGUAG